AACAAAAAUAAAACAUAUGAAUAACAAAUCCUUCAAUUAAAGAAAUCCACACAAAUAGUACCAUAACCCUCAUAGAUUAGUCGCACGACCAAUGACAAUGGCACAGCUACAAUUAAGUCAAGCCGAUCUUUGAGCAGCUCAGACUCACCUUGUAAGAUUUUUCAUUGUGCUCGAACUCAAGCGAGUUCAUUUUAAUUUUAUUUGAUUCAACCUCAGCCGACAUAUAGUUCACUUAUCAAACUUGCAAGCUCGACUCAUAUUUUGCAAUUUAUCAAGCUUAGAAAAUCAACUUACAUUUAGCUCGACUGAUUAUUAAGUUUAAGGAACCCAGAACAAACUCAUAAUUACAUUUAUUAAUUAUUCUCUAAAAAAUUUAUAUUAAUUUUUAUCAUGUUUAUCUAAAUAGGUCAAAUAAAUCAAAAUA
rnacentral:misc_RNA from 1 species